GAUCCUGGCUCAGGAUGAACGCUAGCUAUAGGCUUAACACAUGCAAGUCGAGGGGAAACGGCAUUAUGUGCUUGCACAUUUUGGACGUCGACCGGCGCACGGGUGAGUAUCGCGUAUCCAACCUGCCCUUUACUUGGGGAUACCCCGUUGAAAGACGGCCUAAUACCCGAUGUAAUUCAUUGAUGGCAUCAGAUAUGAAUAAAAGAUUUAUCGGUAAAGGAUGGGGAUGCGUCUGAUUAG
rnacentral:rRNA from 1 species